AGAGUUUGAUCCUGGCUCAGAAUCAACGCUGGCGGCGUGCCUAACACAUGCAAGUCGAACGCGAAAGUCCCGCAAGGGAUCAGUAGAGUGGCAAACGGGUGAGUAACACGUGGGUGACCUGCCUUCGAGUGGGGGAUAACGUCCCGAAAGGGACGCUAAUACCGCAUGACAUCCUGCCUUUGAAGAGGUGGAGCUUAAAGCUGGGGAUCGCAAGACCUAGCGCUUGAAGAGGGGCCCGCGUCUGAUUAGCUAGUUGGUGAGGUAACGGCUCACCAAGGCAACGAUCAGUAUCCGGCCUGAGAGGGCGGACGGACACACUGGGACUGAGACACGGCCCAGACUCCUACGGGAGGCAGCAGUGGGGAAUUGUUCGCAAUGGGCGCAAGCCUGACGACGCAACGCCGCGUGGAGGAUGAAGAUCUUCGGGUCGUAAACUCCUUUCGAUCGAGACGAACGGCCCCUGGGCUAAUCACCAGGGGAGUGACGGUACCGAGAGAAGAAGCCCCGGCUAACUCCGUGCCAGCAGCCGCGGUAAUACGGGGGGGGCAAGCGUUGUUCGGAAUUACUGGGCGUAAAGGGCUCGUAGGUGGCCAACUAAGUCAUACGUGAAAUCCCUCGGCUUAACCGGGGAACUGCGUCUGAUACUGGAUGGCUUGAGGUUGGGAGAGGGAUGCGGAAUUCCAGGUGUAGCGGUGAAAUGCGUAGAUAUCUGGAGGAACACCGGUGGCGAAGGCGGCAUCCUGGACCAAUUCUGACACUGAGGAGCGAAAGCCAGGGGAGCAAACGGGAUUAGAUACCCCCGUAGUCC
rnacentral:rRNA from 1 species